rnacentral:rRNA from 1 species
GAGUUUGAUCAUGGCUCAGGAUGAACGCUGGCGGUGUGCCUUAGGCAUGCAAGUCGAACGGGAUUGUACCUUCGGGUACAUGAUAGUGGCAGACGGGUGAGUAACACGUGAGCAUUUACCCCAUAGUGGGGAAUAGCCUACCGAAAGGUAGGGUAAUACCGCAUAGUCCAGUAAUGGUAAAGACUUCGGUCGCUAUGAGAGAAGCUCGCGUCCUAUCAGGUAGUUGGUGAGGUAAAGGCUCACCAAGCCUAUGACGGGUAGCCGAUGUGAGAGCAUGAUCGGCCACAAGGUCACUGAGACACGGGGCCUACACCUACGGGUGGCAGCAACCGGGAAUAUUGCGCAAUGGACGAAAGUCUGACGCAGCGACACCGCGUGUGGGAUGACACUUUUCGGAGCGUAAACCACUGUGGCGAGGGAGGAAUUUUUGACAGUACCUCGCUAGAAAGCACCUGCUAACUACGUGCCAGAAGCCUCGGUAAUACGUAGGGUGCAAGCGUUAUCCGGAUUUAUUGGGCGUAAAGGGUCCGUAGGCGUCUUGGUAAGUUACUUGUUUAAGCCUCUGGCUCAACUAGAGACAAGCAAGUAAAACUACCAAGAUUGAGUCUGUUAGAGGAAGCUAGAAUUCUUGGUGGAGGGGUGAAAUCCGUAGAUAUCAAGAGGAAUACCAGCCGCGAAGGCGGGCUUCUAGAACACGACUGACGCUAAGGGACGAAAGCUUGGGUAGCAAAACGGAUUAGAGACCCGUGUAGUCCAAGCCGUAAACGCUCCUUGCUAGCUGUGUUGGUCUUUGACCAGCGUGGCGUAAGUUAACACGUUAAGCAAAGGCGCCUGGGAAGUACGAUCGCAAGAUUAAAACUCAAAGGAAUUGACGGGGAAGCGCACAACCGGGUGGAGCAUGUGGUUUAAUUCGAAACAAGCGAAAANCUUACCUGGGUUUGACAUGUACCUGCACGUUCUGGGAAACCAGAAUUUCUUCGAGAGUGGUACAACAGGUGAUGCA